GACGAACGCUGGCGGCGUGCUUAACACAUGCAAGUCGAACGGAAAGGCCCUGCUUUUGUGGGGCGCUCGAGUGGCGAACGGGUGAGUAACACGUGAGUAACCUGCCCUUGACUUUGGGAUAACUUCAGGAAACUGGGGCUAAUACCGGAUAGGAGCUCCUGCUGCAUGGUGGGGGUUGGAAAGUUUCGGCGGUUGGGGAUGGACUCGCGGCUUAUCAGCUUGUUGGUGGGGUAGUGGCUUACCAAGGCUUUGACGGGUAGCCGGCCUGAGAGGGUGACCGGCCACAUUGGGACUGAGAUACGGCCCAGACUCCUACGGGAGGCAGCGGUGGGGAAUAUUGCACAAUGGGCGGAAGCCUGAUGCAGCAACGCCGCGUGCGGGAUGACGGCCUUCGGGUUGUAAACCGCUUUCGCCUGUGACGAAGCGUGAGUGACGGUAAUGGGUAAAGAAGCACCGGCUAACUACGUG
rnacentral:rRNA from 1 species